rnacentral:rRNA from 1 species
UACAGAGGGUGCGAGCGUUAAUCGGAAUUACUGGGCGUAAAGCGCGCGUAGGCGGCUUUGCAAGCCGGAUGUGAAAUCCCCGGGCUUAACCUGGGAACUGCAUUCGGGACUGCAUUGCUAGAGUAUGGGAGAGGGAAGUGGAAUUUCAGGUGUAGCGGUGAAAUGCGUAGAUAUCGGGAGGAACACCUGUGGCGAAAGCGGCGCACUGGACCAUAACUGACGCUGAGGCGCGAAAGCUAGGGGAGCAAACAGG